rnacentral:sRNA from 1 species
CCCCCAUGAAGACCUUCAAGUAGUUCAGCCUACUGCUGAAUCUGGACGUCCCGAUUCCCCCCUCCUAUUGGCUUCUUGUGGUUCAGCCCAGUGCUUCUCGACCUGGUACAUUCUGGUUCCCCGCUCGCAGACUUCCGACGGUAGAGCUCAGCGCGGCGCAGCCCCCGCCCCUUCCAUCCUAUACUGACGCCCCCUGCCGUUCUCUGUCUUACAGUGGAUGGUGUCCCCCAUGGUCGCUGAGACUCCCCUUCGAGGAUUGCACCCGCCCGUCCUAAGCCUCCCCACAAGGCGAGGGGAGUUACCCCUAAAACAAAGCUAUUAAAGGGACAGAAUACUUCCUGUU